rnacentral:tRNA from 1 species
GUGGAUUUAGCUCAAUGGUAUGAGCGCCUACCUUACAAGCAGGCAGUUGUGAGUUCAAUCCCCG